GUUUUUAUAGUGUAAGAAACAUAUUGUUUUUUCAAAGCAAAGAUAUUAAUAUUAAAAAUA
rnacentral:tRNA from 1 species